rnacentral:rRNA from 1 species
AUUGAACGCUGGCGGCAGGCCUAACACAUGCAAGUCGAACGGUAACAGAAAGCAGCUUGCUGCUUUGCUGACGAGUGGCGGACGGGUGAGUAAUGUCUGGGAAACUGCCUGAUGGAGGGGGAUAACUACUGGAAACGGUAGCUAAUACCGCAUAACGUCGCAAGACCAAAGAGGGGGACCUUCGGGCCUCUUGCCAUCGGAUGUGCCCAGAUGGGAUUAGCUAGUAGGUGGGGUAAAGGCUCACCUAGGCGACGAUCCCUAGCUGGUCUGAGAGGAUGACCAGCCACACUGGAACUGAGACACGGUCCAGACUCCUACGGGAGGCAGCAGUGGGGAAUAUUGCACAAUGGGCGCAAGCCUGAUGCAGCCAUGCCGCGUGUAUGAAGAAGGCCUUCGGGUUGUGAAGUACUUUCAGCGGGGAGGAAGGGAGUAAAGUUAAUACCUUUGCUCAUUGACGUUACCCGCAGAAGAAGCACCGGCUAACUCCGU